CAAAUGAUGUGUCACAUUUCCCUGGCACUGAGGUGCACGCCACCACUGAUGCUUUUCAUCCCUGACCC
rnacentral:sRNA from 1 species